UAGCACCGGAAUGUAGAUAUCA
rnacentral:miRNA from 1 species